AAACGGCUAUCUCGUUGGUUCGGCUGAGCAUGCGUACGGAAGAUUUUGCUUUUUUUAUCGCAUGCGUCUAUUUCACGCUUUUCCCAAGCCGCGCCCCACCGACCUAUUUUAUUUCUGAAAUUCUGUAUACAUACUUGGUAAUACCAGAAAAUCUCCUCUGGCUUCCUGCUGGAAAUUCUUUGAAGUUGCUGAAACUGCAGAACAUCCAUUUGGCUCAUAGCGCGCGGUUUAUGACCAGCCAAUUGUCUGCAUUUGUUGGCAUUUUUGAUAAAAAAAUUAAGUGCUAGCUUUUCUCUGCAGACGAAGAAAAUCUCCUUUGGUGUCAGGAGUUCUCCUCCUGCUGCGUUGGCUGUAAAUUCUUUGAGUUGCUGAAAAUUCUGUUUGGGCUCACAGCGCGCGGUUUAUGACCAUCCAACUGACUGCCUUUAUUGGCAUUCUUGAAUAAAAGUAUAAAGUGCUAUUUUUUCUCUGCAGACGAAGGUCUUGAAGGCAACAGUAGCAGCAUGGAAAUGCAGGUCAGUGAG